rnacentral:lncRNA from 1 species
CAUUUCUGGCUUAUUCUCAACCAUUUCUGAUAUCAGCAGCAACUUCUGAGAGGCCAUCUCUCUUCUGCCUACCAUUCUCCAACAAUUGCCUUUGUGCCCAAAGAACCAACUGUAGGGGUUGCAGCCCAUCUGUCAUUCAUAAGGAUGCCUCACACACUCGGGCAACUUGAACGCAACUAUAUGCUUUCCUGUACCUCUGAAGUCUGUAGCAGUCUGCCACUGGGACUUGGAUUCUUAAAUGUGACAGCAGAAAUCAGGAUGCACUCCAGACUUAAAUGACUUGGGUAAAAUAGCUCUAAUGCUCCUUUUCAUUGAUAGACGACUUUACAUGACAAAGCCCAUCGAAAUCAUUACUAAUUAAACCUGCCACUCGCCUUCUGAAGUAGGGCUGAAUUAGUUUGCUCGUUUAACAGCUGACAAAACAGAAAGGCUUAGGGAUUUGCUGAAAAGAAGUGUUUAAGGCAGGAAGCCUGGCCUCAUUCCAUUUCUAGUUUAUUCUUUGCCUGAAAUAGGCCUUCAAAGUGCCCAGCUCUUAACCCCAAGCAGCUUACGGAAAUCAACCGGGAAGAGGAGCUUGGCAAAGCAAUGGCAGGAGUGUAGACCACAG